rnacentral:rRNA from 1 species
AUGGCUCAGGAUGAACGCUAGCGACAGGCCUAACACAUGCAAGUCGAGGGGCAGCGCGGGAGAAGCUUGCUUUCCUGGCGGCGACCGGCGCACGGGUGCGUAACAGGUGUGCAAUCUGUCCAUAGUCGGGGAUAGCCCAGCGAAAGCUGAAUUAAUACUCCAUGUGAAUCGAAGCCGCAUGACUUUGAUUUGAAACGCAAGGACUAUGGGUGAGCACGCUUCUGAUUAGGUAGUUGGUGGGUAACGGCCCACCAAGCCGACGAUCAGUAGGGUUCUGAGAGGAAGGUCCCCACAUUGGAACCUGAGCCACGGUCCAAACUCCUACGGGAGGCAGCAGUGAGGAAUAUUGGUCAAUGGGCGAGAGCCUGAACCAGCCAAGUCGCGUGAAAAGGAUGAAGGUUCUAUGGAUUGUAAACUUCUUUUGUCCGAGGGUUAAAAAAGGCCACGGUGUGGCUUCUUGCAAGUAUCGGACGAAUAAGCAUCGGCUAACUCCGUGCCAGCAGCGGC